rnacentral:lncRNA from 1 species
GACUACAACUCCCAGCAUGCACAGCGAGGUCAACACAGCCCGGCUUUCCUCUUCAGGACUGUGCGCCGCCCCAUGUUCAUGCUGGCUGUGAUUGUAAUCCGGUCGCCCUGCAAUUAAAAAACUGGAAGCUAAUCAAAGACGACAACUCCCAGUAUGCCAGUUAAAAUUAGAAAUCACAGCAAGUCAACAGGAAGCUCUCCUCUGCCAGUCUCCUAAAUCACAAUAUGGCCUUGUCGUGGCUGGAGUAUUUCAAAGGCUCAGUCCCACUCCAGAAUCGGCCCUGUCGCCUCCGCCCGCACUCCAGAGCCGGCUGAGAACCGCAGCGGCGCGGGAUCCACGUGCAGCGUCUCUCCAGACUGUGCCACUCCAUGGACUUGAAACAAACCCCAUAUUCCUCCUGAGUCUGAAGGAGAUCAAAGUACUCCAAAAAUGCAGCUGCUUCAGUGACAAGAGGGAAUUACCUUCUCCCAAGCCUCAGGAUCCUGGUACCCGACUUGCCUGCCCCAGGCUCACUCCCAUUCACACAGUCCUUCAUGGCAGUGUCCAGCUUCACCAGGUCAAAGCUACCUAGAUGUCAUCAUACAAAUUACAGGCUAUGACGUCCACCUCAUUCUCUUUCUGGAAGGCUGACCUUAACUGUCCUGCACAUUCCUUACACAGCAUAUUUGCCCUUUUCCUAUACUAAUAAGCCCUAAAUCUUGGGGGUAACAGCCUGGGGAACUACCUGUCUUGCUACCACUCAAGACCAUACUUCUGUCCACAAAUUCCCCC